GAAGGUAUCAUGGAACACAGCUGAUGGUUGGCAUUGUGAGAGUCCAAGAGUAGCCACUGGUUAAAGUGAAUCCUCAGUUUUGAUAAGCCCUAGAUUUGGAGUGAAGUUAAAACUUGGUACUAUGAAGCAGGAUUAUAGUCUCUUAAUAAAGAUUAAAAGUGGUGCCUUUUGAAGGUAUAGCUCAGUUACAGGAGAAAAAUUAACAUUUGGGAGAUAUCAGUACCAUGGGACAACAACAAAGAACAGCAGCAGUGGGGAGUGAAAUACCCCUGAGCCUUCAAGCUCUUACUGAUCUCUGGCUCUCCGGUUCAACUCAGCUGUUCCAGCUCAAAGCUCCUCUCCAAGGUGGUGAAGUCACGACUUCUCACCUUUAGUUGGAAUGAUGGAAGAAAGAAGAAAGGAACCAUUCCGAGAGGAUGCAGCUGCCUCUCUGAAGGAAAGAUCUUGGAGGUAAGAAAACUGUGCACA